UACGAAGGGGGCUAGCGUUGCUCGGAAUUACUGGGCGUAAAGGGCGCGUAGGCGGCCUUCUAAGUCGAACGUGAAAUCCCCGGGCUCAACCCGGGAACUGCGUCCGAUACUGGAUGGCUUGAGUUCGGGAGAGGGAUGCGGAAUUCCAGGUGUAGCGGUGAAAUGCGUAGAUAUCUGGAGGAACACCGGUGGCGAAGGCGGCAUCCUGGACCAACACUGACGCUGAGGAGCGAAAGCCAGGGGAGCAAACGGG
rnacentral:rRNA from 1 species